rnacentral:rRNA from 1 species
CCUACGGGUGGCAGCAGUGAGGAAUCUUGGUCAAUGGACGAGACUCUGAACCAGCCAAGUAGCGUGAAGGAUGACUGCUCUUUGGGUUGUAAACUUCUUUUAUAUGGGCAUAAAUUGUUCCACGUGUGGGAUUUUGUAUGUACCAUAUGAAUAAGGAUCGGCUAACUCCGUGCCAGCAGCGGCGGUAAUACGGAGGAGCCGAGCGUUAGCGGGAUUUAUUGGGUUUAAAGGGAGCGUAGGUGGAUUGUUAAGUCAGUUGUGAAAGUUUGGGGCUCAACCGUAAAAUUGCAGUUGAAACUGGGAGUCUAGAGUACAGGAGAGGUGGGCGGAAUUCGUGGUGUAGCGGUGAAAUGCUUAGAUAUCACGAAGAACUCUGAUUGCGAAGGCAGCUCACUGGACAGCAACUGACACUGAGGCUCGAAAGUGUGGGUAUCAAACAGGAUUAGAUACCCGAGUAGUC